rnacentral:rRNA from 1 species
AUUGAACGCUGGCGGCAGGCCUAACACAUGCAAGUCGAGCGGAUGAAGAGAGCUUGCUCUCUGAUUUAGCGGCGGACGGGUGAGUAAUGCCUAGGAAUCUGCCUGGUAGUGGGGGAUAACGUUCCGAAAGGAACGCUAAUACCGCAUACGGCCUACGGGAGACAGCAGGGGACCUUCGGGCCUUGCGCUACCAGAUGAGCCUAGGUCGGGUUAGCUAGUUGGUGAGGUAAUGGCAAACCAAGGUUACGAUCCGUAACGGGUCUGAGGGGGUGAUCAGUCACACUGGAACUGAGACACGGUCCAGACUCCUACAGGAGGCAGCAGUGGGGAAUAUUGGACAAUGGACGAAAGCCUGAUCCAGCCAUGCCGCGUGUGUGAAGAAGGUCUUCGGAUUGUAAAGCACUUUAAGUUGGGAGGAAGGGCAGUAAGUUAAUACCUGGCUGUUUUGACGUUACCUACAGAAUAAGCACCGGCUAACUUCGUGCCAGCCGCCGCCGUAACAC